rnacentral:rRNA from 1 species
UACGUAGGGUGCAAGCGUUGUCCGGAUUCAUUGGGCGUAAAGAGCUCGUAGGCGGCUUUGUAAGUCGGGUGUGAAAACCCCAGGCUCAACCUGGGGACGCCACUCGAUACUGCAAUAGCUAGAGUCUGGUAGGGGAUCACGGAAUUCCUGGUGUAGCGGUGAAAUGCGCAGAUAUCAGGAGGAACACCGGUGGCGAAGGCGGUGAUCUGGGCCAGUACUGACGCUGAGGAGCGAAAGCGUGGGGAGCAAACAGG